rnacentral:lncRNA from 1 species
UAACGUGUGUGCCUUUUGUUUCUAUGGCCAUUCAGCUUAGGUUCCUGGACAUAGCUAGAUCGCUUUAAAGGCCACUCUAUUUCAGGGCCUGGGAAAAGGUCCUGUGGAAGCAUGACCAGACAUCUCCCCUUGUGUUUCAUUUUGCUGAUCAUACUGAUUGACAAGAGUGAAGCCUGUUUCUGUGACCACUACCCAUGGACUCACUGGUCCAGCUGUUCUAAGUCCUGCAAUUCUGGAACCCAGAGCAGACAGAGACAAAUCGUAGUGAACGAUUACUAUCGGGAUAACUCAUGCGAUCAGCUCUGUACCAAGCAGGAGACCAGACAGUGCAACGUGGAGACAUGUCCCAUCAACUGUGUCCUAGGAGACUAUGGAACAUGGUCAGACUGUGACCCUUGUAUUAGAAAACAGGUUAAAGUUAGAUCUGUUCUGCGCCCAAGUCAGUUUGGGGGACAACCAUGCACAGAGCCCCUGGUGACCUUUCAACCAUGUGUCCCAUCUGAGCUCUGCAAAAUUGAAGAGACUGAUUGCAAGAAUAAAUUCCUCUGUGACAGUGGCAAAUCUGCAACUGCAGCUGCCGGAAUCCAGGUCAACAGCGUUAUGUCCACAGCCACUGUUUAAAGACUGGAAGGACAAGAUGGUUCAGCAUGCUGAUGAGCAACCAGAGUUCAUUCCUUGAGAGUCACAUAAUAGAAAGAGAACCAAAUCCUAUAAAUUGUCUUCCGGUCUCUUGAACCUCAACCCCAUCCCCUGUGGCUGCUAUGCCAUCACCCCUCCAAUAAAAGCUAAUUAAGUUCUGCAAUAAAAUUAAAAGUUAAAACAUCCAAAAU